GCUUUGGAUGGUAGGAUAUUGGCCUACCGUGGCAUUGACGGGUAACGGAGAAUUAGGGUUCGGUUCCGGAGAGGGAGCCUGAGAAACGGCUACCACAUCCAAGGAAGGCAGCAGGCGCGUAAAUUACCCAAUCCUAACACAGGGAGGUAGUGACAAUAAAUAACGAUACAGAACUCAUCGAGUUAUGUAAUUGGAAUGAGAACAAUUUAAAUCCCUUAUCGAGUAUCAAUUGGAGGGCAAGUCUGGUGCCAGCAGCCGCGGUAAUUCCAGCUCCAAUAGCGUAUAUUAAAGUUGUUGCAGUUAAAAAGCUCGUAGUUGAAUUUCUGGCGCCACCGGCGGUCCUUCCUCAGUGUUGCGACUUGUGUGUGUGGUGCCAUUUUUGUCGGGUGCGGUGGGGCGCUUGAUUGUGUCCUGCCGUGUUUAGCCCGGCAUCGAUUACUGUGAACAAAUUAGAGUGUUUAAAGCGGGCUGUUAGCUUGAAUACAUUAGCAUGGAAUAAUGAUAUAGGACUUUGGGACUAUAUUCGUUGGUUGAGUACCGGAGUAAUGAUUAAUAGGGAUAGUUGGGGGUAUUCAUAUUUGAUUGUCAGAGGUGAAAUUCUUGGAUUU
rnacentral:rRNA from 2 species